GGAAAUAAGAUACAUCCUUCUCUCUCUCUCUCUCUCUCUCUCUCUCUCUCUCUCACACACACACACACACACAGAGAGAGAGAGAUAGAGAGAGGGGGGGGAGAGAUGCUAUGAUAUG